UGCUUCGGGAAGGCCUCACGCGCAAGGGAAAACUUCGGCUUUUUCCGCCGUUGCUUCGGCUUCUUUCGGCUUCAAGAGCAGAAAAAAAAAAAGGGAGGGAGUACAGAUAAGAGAGCCUGCACCUUCUUGAGAGUCUCGUCGUCCAGCGCCAGGAAGCAGCGGCGGGAGUACUCCAGCAGGCGUUCCUUGGACGGAUCGAACUCUCCCACCUCCGCCAGCUUUUCGGGAGCCACGAUGAGCAGCUCCGCGAUGGGCGUGGUCAGCGCCACCGUGUUCCGGUCCACACGGUGGUGCUCAAAGGCUCGAGACAUGCUCUUCAGCUUCUGGAAGGUGCCCAGGAUCUUCUUGUAGCGGCAGAGUACCCCAUCAGCGUCCUUCACUGUAGGGCCAAAAGGGCAGAAAAAAAGAGAACAGGGAAAGACAGACAUGUGGGGCCAGAGACAUGGGUGAGCCCAGAUAGAAACAGGAGGGCAGGCAUGAGGAGGAAAGAUGGGGUGAAAGGCACACAAGUUAGAAAGCAAAUGAAAGCAAAGAAGAAAAAAACAAGGAAGUGGAGGAGCCCCAUACAGGAAGAGUAGGGAGAACAAAACGGAAAACAGUAGCAAUCAGAGCAAGAAAUGGAGAUGGACCUGGGGGGAAAUUGAAGAAGGCAGGCUGCGCAUGUGCCCAGAGGCCUCUUUUCUGAUGAGGAAACAGAAUUGACUCUGCUAGUUUGUGUAAACCGAAAUUUAAAAUGAACACAGAACCACAUAGAAGGGCUGAGAAAUGGA